GGAUGGCUUAGGAUGAUCGCAAUCAUGAUUGGACGGCUAUGAGCUAUCCUAGGGAGAUCAGAGGCAUGAUCUGGUGUGAUGGGAUGCAAUCCAUUGGUCGAUUUCUGAUCUUAGGUGUGAUCGGAUGGUCGAGAAGCUACGAAAGUCCAAUCAGGAGUUUGAUUCCGAUAUAGCCUGGGUUUUAGGGCCUUUAAGAGGUUCCGUGGGUAAACAGAGAGAGUGAAAUGGUAGUUGGUUGUUCGGUAGAAGACCUAGAGUAGCAGAGACGAGAUGCCG
rnacentral:lncRNA from 1 species